GACGAACGCUGGCGGCGUGCCUAAUACAUGCAAGUCGAGCGAAGUUUUUCUGUUGCUUGCACUAGAAAAACUUAGCGGCGAACGGGUGAGUAACACGUAAAGAACCUGCCUCAUAGAUUGGGACUACUAUUGGAAACGAUAGCUAAUACCGGAUAACAGUAUUUCUCGCAUGAGAGAUAUUUAAAAGUUGGUUAUGCUAACACUAUGAGAUGGCUUUGCGGUGCAUUAGCUAGUUGGCGGGGUAAAGGCCCACCAAGGCGACGAUGCAUAGCCGACCUGAGAGGGUGAUCGGCCACACUAGGACUGAGACAAGGCCCAGAAGACUACGGGAGGCAGCAGUAGGGAAUAUUACGGAAUGGGCGAAAGAAGGACGGAGCAACGCCGCGUGAGUGAAGAAGGAUUUCGGUUCGUAAAGAUCUGUUGUUAGGGAAGAAUGGAUAUGUAGUAACUAUACAUGUAAGAGACGGUACCUAACCAGAAAGCCACGGCUAACUACGUG
rnacentral:rRNA from 1 species